CAUUUUUAUUUUUUAAGAUUUUAAGGUAUAAAAUCUUAAUUCCAAAAUCAUGAUACUUUGCAUAGUCAUGAGAUAAAUAUUGAAGAUGUGUACUCUCUUUUUUUGCGUUCUUUCCAAAUUAAAAAACAGAUGCCAAUUUUACUGCGUCUGAAUCGCUUUUCUGGAUUAACCUUCAUCAGGAACGCUCAAGUUCAAAAAGUAGGAAAGCAAAAAAAUCAAAUCAAAUGGGAGCAUUAACACUGAAUAGGGCAUAAACAGAACAGCCAAAAUCAAAUUAUCCAAUUGUUGAAGUUUAGUCAAUAUUUUGAAGGUAUAUUUAGCAGAAACUAAAACAGGUUUUUAUUAUCUUAAUAAACUUUGGUAUUUUGAAUGUAUUGGCACAAAAGAUGCACAUCUUCUUACUAGUUUGGUACUGCGUGACACAGGUUAAGUUUGGUCUUGUUUUUUUAUAG
rnacentral:lncRNA from 1 species